rnacentral:rRNA from 1 species
UGCGUAGGCGGCGCGAUAAGUUGGAUGUGAAAAGCCCGUGCUUAACAUGGGAGGUGCAUCCAAGACUGUCGUGCUAGAGUACAGGAGAGGGAAGCGGAAUUCCUAGUGUAGCGGUGAAAUGCGUAGAUAUUAGGAGGAACACCGGUGGCGAAGGCGGCUUUCUGGACUGACACUGACGCUGAGGCACGAAAGCGUGGGGAGCAAACA